rnacentral:rRNA from 1 species
UUGAUCCCUGGCUCAGGACGAACGCUGGCGGCAUGCCUAAUACAUGCAAGUCGAGCGGUUUUACUUUGGAAGCUUGCUUCCAAAGUAGGAUAGCGGCGGACGGGUGAGUAACACGUAGGCAACCUGCCCCUUAGACUGGGAUAACUACCGGAAACGGUAGCUAAUACCGGAUAAUCCCUUUCCUCUCCUGAGGAAAGGCUGAAAGAUGGAGCAAUCUAUCACUGAGGGAUGGGCCUGCGGCGCAUUAGCUAGUUGGUGAGGUAACGGCUCACCAAGGCGACGAUGCGUAGCCGACCUGAGAGGGUGAACGGCCACACUGGGACUGAGACACGGCCCAGACUCCUACGGGAGGCAGCAGUAGGGAAUCUUCCGCAAUGGGCGAAAGCCUGACGGAGCAAUGCCGCGUGAGUGAUGAAGGUUUUCGGAUCGUAAAGCUCUGUUGCCAGGGAAGAACGUCCGGUAGAGUAACUGCUACCGGAGUGACGGUACCUGAGAAGAAAGCCCCGGCU